GGAUGGGGAGGAGGGUGCAGGUGGGGAGAUCAGUGACUGAGUUUAUGAACUUAACUGGUGGAGCAGUCUCUAGUGAUGAGGGGUGACUGGGGCAUGGCCUUGAGAGUGGGACCAAAAGAUCUGAGAUUCUUUCUCCCCGAAAGGUCUGUGAUGGUGCCUGUGUUGAAAAUGCUUUCAUGUUAAUUGUGUACACACAUUUCAUCUGUAUCCCUGUUUCUUUUCUCCCUACAGAAACAUAUGAGGAUUUUGAUACCAGGAUACUUGAGGUAAGAAACGUUUUCACUAUGACUGCGAAAGAGGGAAGAAAGAAAUCGAUCCGUGUCUUGGUGGCUGUGGGGAACGGAAAAGGAGCUGCAGGUGAAUGGGGAGUGAUGGCAUCACAGUGGCGGUGGUGUGCAGGGAAAGGCGUGGCACGGGCCAUGCUGUGGAGCCCAUGGGCUCAUGCUGCUGGCCGGACUUUUUCCAUUGAUUAAACCUUUUAGUGGUUUGGGUUCACAAAGCUUGUGGUAAGUCCAUGACUUCCCUUAGAGAGAAAAGAGAGAAUAGAUUCUACUGUACUUGCCUUUUCCUCUGAGGAAAAGGAAUAUUAUAAAAGGCUGAAGACAUUAUUUUAUUAUGUAUAAUAGUGGAAAAUUAGGGAGAAAAACU
rnacentral:lncRNA from 1 species